rnacentral:rRNA from 1 species
UACAGAGGUCCCAAGCGUUGUUCGGAUUCACUGGGCGUAAAGGGUGCGCAGGUGGGUUGGCAAGUUCGAUGUGAAAGCCCCGGGCUUAACCCGGGAAUGGCAUUGGAUACUGCUGAUCUGGAGGAUCGGAGGGGGGACUGGAAUUCUUGGUGUAGCAGUGAAAUGCGUAGAUAUCAAGAGGAACACCAGUGGCGAAGGCGAGUCCCUGGACGAUACCUGACACUGAGGCACGAAAGCGUGGGGAGCAAACAGG